GCUUCUGGGUUUUAGCUCCAAUCCUCAGAGAGUUCCCUUGGUUAAAUUUUGGUGCAAGUUGGAUGCUUUAGAACUGAGUUUUAUGAGGGUUUUGAAGAACAACUUUAAGAAAUUGAGCUGCCAAUAAUCUUGGGUUCUCUUUUCUCUUAGACCAUAAAGCUCACCCAUUUCAUUGAUGACUGUAAGCGGACCAAGAAUAUUUGAUUCUUAGCUCAUUUGUCAUGGUUUGGUUCUGAUAAAGGUUCUGACUUGUAAGGCUAAAGCCUAUCAUGUAGUAUCCUGGUUAGAUUUUGAUUACUUGUGACCUGUGUUAGGUGAAUACAUAUUUAAUUGUAUGUUACUAUACUAUUGAUGCUUUAAUAAGAGUUCUUAUUUUGAUGAUCA